UUUGUUUCCAUUAAAUUUUUAAACCAAGUAAAAAAAAUCAAUUCAUAUUGCAACAAGAGUUGCACUAGAUAUUCUUGAAGAGACAUUCCUAGAGAGAUUAGAAUUGUCCAAUCAGCAGCACUGGAAAGAAAUUGCAACAAAGCUCGAUGAAGCCUUAUCAAGGCAAAUGCAAUCAGGAAAGAAAAGAGAAUGAAAAAAAAAAAAUAUAUAUAUAUAUGAAACAAAGAAACGAGACAAAAGUCAUCUGUAUUCUAUAAGCGAACGUUCGAAUACUGUGAGUCAGUCAGUAGUUGUAAAUGAAUGGAAAUAUAGCGGAAUUUUCAAUGAUCAAUUAAAAGUCAGUGGCACUUUCAAGCUUUCAACUUUGAGAAUGCAUAAUAUUGUGAUUAUUAUUAUUUCUUGUAACCUUCUCAAGGCUUUUGUUAAAAUGUCAACAAUUAUUACACACGAUUUGUAAUCUAAUUAAGGAAAUCGUUAAAAUCGUUACGAAAAAAUUAAUUCAUCAUAUUUUUUUAAAUAUAUGAAGUAAAAAAUUUUUUACCUCGAACAACUAUACGAAUUUUACUAUAUUUGCGAAAUUUUUAAUUGCUUCAGUUGUGACUAUUGCCAUUCUGAAAAAACUUAUCGCUGUUCCAGUGCAUUUACUUUGUUAUUAUUGUCUCAUCGUCAUUAAAAGCCUUCCGGAACAGAAAUAAACUUUUGUCAGAUUUUAAUAAGAAAUUUGCUUUGAAGAAAUAAUCCUUUGGGGAGAACGAGGCAAAAAUCAAAUUGCAACAUCUAUCUGAAAAAAAUUCCACCUCAUAAUGGAAUAAAUAAUAUUACGAAAAUAUACAAAAAUGGCAAUAAACAGAAGUACGCACACAGUAUGUACAUGAUUACUAAUUUCAAUUCUGUAUUUUGUAACACCAG